AUUUUGUGAGUUUACGUGUCCAACGUUUGACUAUCCGUUUUAUUUGAAAAUUUUAUGAAAAACUUAAGAAAAUAAGUCAUGCGUAAAGUCCUAUUCAUGUUUUAUCAUCUAGAAUAAUAAAAAUACUAAUCAUAAAAAAAUUCAAAUAAUACAGACGGUCAAACGUUGGAUACAGAAACCCACAACUGCACUUAAA
rfam:Oryza sativa (indica cultivar-group) chromosome 11, whole genome shotgun sequence.